GCCUCUUUAGCUCAAUUGGUCAGAGCACGAGAUUUGUAAUCCCGGGGUCGUUGGUUCGAAUCCGACAAGAGGCU
rnacentral:tRNA from 1 species